rnacentral:lncRNA from 1 species
UCACCUUCCCCAUAACAGACCUUAAACCCUACUCUGAAGCAAUAAAAACCCCUAAUUUGCCGCUUCUAAUCUGGCAGAAAUUCGCCGGAAACUACCAAGCGCCACCAGAAAUGGCGUCAAUAGUAUCAGAAAUAGUUCCAAAGUUCACCGCUGAAGCACUCAAAUCCGCAGCUAAACAAUCUGAACGUUGCCAUAUUGUUCCUCUCCACCUUUAAAACACUAUUCACCCCCCCUUCUAAUCUGAACGUUGCCAUAUUGUUCCUCUCCGCCUUCGUAAAGCUAUCAAAAAGUACCUCCGAGGUAAAUUUCAACUUUUAUUUUUAUUUUUGAUGCACUUUUGUUCAAACAUUGAUUUCAUUAGGAUGUCCCUGUUUAGAGUUUUUUUUGCUGAAAUAGUCCCUCAAUUAUUACAUUUCAUACUCAAAAUAUCACCGUUGACAUAUUUAUUCCUUCAAGAAUGCAAAAGUUGAAAUUGGCAAAAGGAUUAAUUUGUGAAACUCGGUGCAUGUGCUUGUGGGAGGCAGCAGGUACCAUGUGGAGUUAGUCCAGCUUGUGCCCGGACACCAUGGUUGUAAAAAAAGAUUAAUUUGUGACAAUGGUGGUUGCUUAUUG